AAAAAAUUUUAAUUUAAUUUAAUUAAUUAAUUAUAAAUUUUUAUUUAUAUAUAUAAAUUAAUAAAUUUAUUAAUUAAACAAUAUUAAUAUAUAUAAUUUUUUAUUAUAAAAAUAAUAAAAGAAAUAUUUACAAUAUAAAUUUAUUUUUAGUGCCAGCAAUAGCGGUUAAACUAAAUAUAUAAAUUAAUUAAUUUUAUAUAAUUAUUAAUUAUAAUUAUUUAUUAAAAAAAAUAAUUUUUUGAUAAAAUAAAAAAUUAUUAAAAAAAUUAAAUAUUAUAAAGAAUUAAUAAAUUAUUUAAAUAAACUAGGAUUAGAUACCCUAUUAUUAAUAAUUAAAUUUAUUUUAAUUAAUUAGUAAAAGUAAAAUUUGAAAAUUAAAAUUAUGGCAGUAUUUUAACUAUUUUAGAGGAAUUUGUAUUUUAAUUUGUUAAUCCACAAAAAGAAUAACUUAAAUUAAUAAAAUUUAUGUAUGUUCGUUAUAAAAAAAUUUAAUAAUAAUAUUUUUGGUAAAUUUAAUAUAAUUUUAUUUCAGAUCAAUAUUUAAUUUUUAAAUAAGAAUAAUAUGAAUUACAAUAAAAUAAAUUUUUUAAUAAAAUUUUAAAAUUUUAAUAAAGAAUGGAUUUAAUAGUAAAUUUAAUUAAUUAAUUAAAUUGAAUUAGUUUUUAAAUAUGUACAAAUUGCCCGUCGCUUUUAUAAAAUAAAAUAAGUCGUAACAAAGUAAUUAUACUGGAAAGUGUAAUUAAAUAUAU
rnacentral:ncRNA from 1 species